rnacentral:rRNA from 1 species
GUCUAUUACCAUACCACCCUGGACAAGCCCGAUCUCAUCUGAUCUCGGAACUUAAGCAGGGUGCCAGCAUGGUUAGUAACUGAAGGGGAGAAAAGUAAUUUCUUUAGAGC